UGAGAAAGAAGGCCCUUUGCGACAGAGCGUGGAACUUACGCCAACCCACAAUCUGGAGGCUUUGAGGUCAUUUGAACGACACAUCAUUUCCCGCAACCCAUGAAAUGAUGUACUGCUGUUGCUGUCAGUGAAUAUUUGUUGAAAGCUCCUGCCUGAGAAAGAAGGCCCUUUGCGACAGAGCGUGGAACUUACGCCAACCCACAAUCUGGAGGCUUUGAGGUCAUUUGAACGACACAUCAUUUCCCGCAACCCAUGAAAUGAUGUACAGCUGUUGCUGUCAGUGAAUAUUUG